CAGAGGUCUCAAGCGUUGUUCGGAUUCAUUGGGCGUAAAGGGUGCGUAGGUGGCGCGCUAAGUCAGGUGUGAAAUUUCGGAGCUCAACUCCGAAACUGCAUUUGAUACUGGCGUGCUUGAGGACUGGAGAGGAGACUGGAAUUCACGGUGUAGCAGUGAAAUGCGUAGAGAUCGUGAGGAAGACCAGUGGCGAAGGCGGGUCUCUGGACAGUUCCUGACACUGAGGCACGAAGGCCAGGGGGAGCAAACGGGAUUAGAUACCCCGGUAGUCCUGGCAGUAAACGGUGCACGUUUGGUGUGGGAGGAUUCGACCCCUUCUGCGCCGGAGCUAACGCGUUAAACGUGCCGCCUGGGGAGUACGGUCGCAAGAUUA
rnacentral:rRNA from 1 species